UACGAAGGGGGCUAGCGUUGCUCGGAAUCACUGGGCGUAAAGCGCACGUAGGCGGAUUGUUAAGUCAGGGGUGAAAUCCUGGAGCUCAACUCCAGAACUGCCUUUGAUACUGGCGAUCUUGAGUCCGGGAGAGGUAAGUGGAAUUCCGAGUGUAGAGGUGAAAUUCGUAGAUAUUCGGAAGAACACCAGUGGCGAAGGCGACUUACUGGACACAUAUUGACGCUGAGGUGCGAAAGCGUGGGGAGCAAACAGG
rnacentral:rRNA from 1 species